rnacentral:rRNA from 1 species
AGUGAACGCUGGCGGUAGGCCUAACACAUGCAAGUCGAACGGCAGCACAGUAAGAGCUUGCUCUUACGGGUGGCGAGUGGCGGACGGGUGAGGAAUACAUCGAAAUCUACUUUUUCGUGGGGGAUAACGUAGGGAAACUUACGCUAAUACCGCAUACGACCUACGGGUGAAAGCAGGGGAUCUUCGGACCUUGCGCGAUUGAAUGAGCCGAUGUCGGAUUAGCUAGUUGGCGGGGUAAAGGCCCACCAAGGCGACGAUCCGUAGCUGGUCUGAGAGGAUGAUCAGCCACACUGGAACUGAGACACGGUCCAGACUCCUACGGGAGGCAGCAGUGGGGAAUAUUGGACAAUGGGCGCAAGCCUGAUCCAGCCAUACCGCGUGGGUGAAGAAGGCCUUCAGGUUGUAAAGCCCUUUUGUUGGGAAAGAAAGGCAGCAGGUUAAUACCCCGCUGUUCUGACGGUACCCAAAGAAUAAGCACCGGCUAACUUCGUG